rnacentral:lncRNA from 1 species
UCCAUCACCCGCCUGGUUGGCUGGCGAUACUCUCCGGGAAGGCCUGGACGCAGCUUGCCCACGUUGAUGACGGGGUCAUCCUCAGCUUGGCACUCACCAAUCUGUCGCUGUCGCUCUUGGACUCGGGAAGGAGCAAGUCACUGGCUUUCUCAGACCAUUAACAAGCUCUGUGUCUCUCUCUCUACAGCCGUCUCUUCGGGUUCGUGAGGCUUCAUGAAGAUGGCGCCAGAACGAAGACCCUACUAGGCAAGGCUGUUCGCUGCUACGAAUCUUUAAUCUUAAAAGCUGAAGGAAAAGUGGAGUCUGACUUCUUUUGCCAAUUAGGUCACUUCAACCUCUUGUUGGAAGAUUAUUCAAAAGCAUUAUCUGCAUAUCAGAGAUAUUACAGUUUACAGGCUGACUACUGGAAGAAUGCUGCGUUUUUAUAUGGCCUUGGUUUGGUCUACUUCUACUACAAUGCAUUUCAUUGGGCAAUUAAAGCAUUUCAAGAUGUCCUUUAUGUUGACCCCAGCUUUUGUCGAGCCAAGGAAAUUCAUUUACGACUUGGGCUCAUGUUCAAAGUGAACACAGACUACAAGUCUAGUUUAAAGCAUUUUCAGUUAGCCUUGAUUGACUGUAAUCCAUGUACUUUGUCCAAUGCUGAAAUUCAAUUUCAUAUUGCCCAUUUGUAUGAAACCCAGGUAAGUGUUUUAACUUAAGAACAAGAAUGAAACAGUCACCUAUGCUUUAGAUGAAAUGAAAUGUACUUGAAAAUAUCAGGCUUUAAAUGAAAUAAAUAUAUUAGACGAUUUGAGUUGUGGGUAUUAUACUCUUGCAUGUAUUUUGUAUUCUACUCCUCAUUAAAUGUGUUUGAAAUUUUUAGUGAACAAAUUGUUAAAGACAAAUGAAGGCAUUUGAGAUUUGUACUUAAUAUAUAUAUAUAUAGCAGUUUGUGUAACUACCUUAAACUGUGUAUUUUAUUUCCUAAAUACAAUACUUGCUAUGUAUGCAGUGCUUUGACUUAAUGUAAUUUGCCUCUAUACCUUUAUUUAGAAGCUUUCAUGUAACCCUGCAUGUAAUGUCUACUUUUCUUUUAAAAUUUUCAUGAAUGAUUGUAAUAAGUCACUGUUAUUGAAGUUUUCUGUUUUUCUUUAAGACUGAGGUAUCUUUUAAGCAUCAUACCAUUUCAAAUGAUAGUUACCAUUAGUUCAAGGCUGUUUGUUUUUAAAGUUAUUUCAGCUUUUUAAAAAAAUAUUUUGCUUUGUAUAGCAGAUUUUAUUAUAAUAUUUAAACUGUAACAUACAGAUUUACAGUUUGUGGUGGAGUUGGUAGACUUAAAAAAAUGGGUAGCAUUUUUUCAUAUUAUGAGUAGCUGAACAUUUUGAAUUUAAAUUGUGAAAUAAAGAGA